CUCAAAUUUGAAAGCUGGCCCCUUUGGGGUCCGCGUUGUAAUUUGUAGAGGAUGAUUCGGCGAGGGCUCCCGUCUAAGUCCCCUGGAACGGGGCGUCAUAGAGGGUGAGAAUCCCGUAUGUGAUGGGUUGCCUUAGCCAUGUGAAUCUCCUUCGACGAGUCGAGUUGUUUGGGAAUGCAGCUCUAAAUGGGAGGUAAAUUUCUUCUAAAGCUAAAUACCGGCCAGAGACCGAUAGCGCACAAGUAGAGUGAUCGAAAGAUGAAAAGCACUUUGGAAAGAGAGUUAAAAAGUACGUGAAAUUGUUGAAAGGGAAGCGCUUGCAGCCAGACUUGUCCGCAGUUGCUCAGCCGGUCUCCUGACCGGCGUACUCUUCUGCGGCCAGGCCAGCAUCAGUUCGGGCGGUCGGAUAAAGACCUCGGGAAUGUAGCUCCUCUCGGGGAGUGUUAUAGCCCGGGGUGGAAUGCGGCCAGCCUGGACUGAGGAUCUCGCUUCGGCUAGGAUGCUGGCGUAAUGGCUGUAAGCGGCCCGUCUUGAAACACGGACCAAGGAGUCUAACAUCUAUGCGAGUGUUUGGGUGUCAAACCCAUACGCGUAAUGAAAGUGAACGGAGGUGGGAACCCUCAGGUGCACCAUCGACCGAUCCUGAUGUCUUCGGAUGGAUUUGAGUAUGAGCAUAGCUGUUGGGACCCGAAAGAUGGUGAACUAUGCCUGAAUAGGGUGAAGCCAGAGGAAACUCUGGUGGAGGCUCGCAGCGGUUCUGACGUGCAAAUCGAUCG
rnacentral:rRNA from 1 species